rnacentral:rRNA from 1 species
AACGAACGCUGGCGGCAUGCCUAACACAUGCAAGUCGAACGAGACCUUCGGGUCUAGUGGCGCACGGGUGCGUAACGCGUGGGAACCUGCCCUUAGGUUCGGAAUAACUCCCCGAAAGGGGUGCUAAUACCGGAUAAUGUCUCCGAACCAAAGAUUUAUCGCCUUUGGAUGGGCCCGAGUUGGAUUAGUUAGUUGGUAGGGUAAAAGCCUGCCAAGGCGACGAUCCAUAGCUGGUCUGAGAGGAUGAUCAGCCACACUGGGACUGAGACACGGCCCAGACUCCUACGGGAGGCAGCAGUGGGGAAUAUUGGACAGUGGGGGAAAGCAUGAUCGAGCAAUGCCGCGUGAGUGAUGAAGGCCUGAGGGUUGUAAAGCUCUUUUACCCGGGAUGAUAAUGACAGUACCGGGAGAAUAAGCACCGGCUAACUCCGUG